rnacentral:SRP_RNA from 2 species
GUCCAGGUGCUAUGCAAGGAAACGCUGCAAAACUCCGCCAGAUUGGGAACAAAGCAACGGUAUGCGGAUGUUUUUUGUGCCGUAGUUUACCUGGGCUCU